rnacentral:rRNA from 1 species
CCUACGGGUGGCAGCAGUGAGGAAUAUUGGUCAAUGGCCGGAAGGCUGAACCAGCCAUGCCGCGUGAAGGUCAGUGCCCUAUGGGCGUUAAACUUCUUUUGUGCGGGAGCAAUAAUGGUCACGUGUGGCCAGACGAGAGUACCGUACGAAUAAGCAUCGGCUAACUCCGUGCCAGCAGCCGCGGUAAUACGUAGGGGGCAAGCGUUAUCCGGAUUCACUGGGUGUAAAGGGAGCGUAGACGGCGACGCAAGUCUGGAGUGAAAGCCCGGGGCCCAACCCCGGGACUGCUCUGGAAACUGCGGCGCUGGAGUACGGGAGGGGCAGGCGGAAUUCCUGGUGUAGCGGUGAAAUGCGUAGAUAUCAGGAGGAACACCGGCGGCGAAGGCGGCCUGCUGGACCGUGACUGACGUUGAGGCUCGAGAGCGUGGGGAGCAAACAGGAUUAGAUACCCCAGUAGUC